rnacentral:rRNA from 2 species
UGGGGAAUUUUGCGCAAUGGGGGCAACCCUGACGCAGCAACGCCGCGUGCGGGAAGAAGGCCUUCGGGUUGUAAACCGCUUUCAGCGGGGACGAUAAUGACGGUACCCGCAGAAGAAGCUCCGGCUAACUACGUGCCAGCAGCCGCGGUAAUACGUAGGGAGCGAGCGUUAUCCGGAUUCAUUGGGCGUAAAGCGCGCGUAGGCGGCUCGGGAAGCGGAACCUCUAACCUUGGGGCUCAACCUCAAGCCGGGUUCCGAACUCCCGGGCUCGAGUCAGGUAGGGGCAGGCGGAAUUCCCGGUGUAGCGGUGAAAUGCGCAGAUAUCGGGAGGAACACCGAUGGCGAAGGCAGCCUGCUGGGCCUAAAGACUGACGCUGAGGUGCGAAAGCGUGGGGAGCGAACAGG